UCUUUCAUGUAAUUCCAAACUUAUCCAUUUCUAGGUUAAUAACUAAUGUUACUUAUAUGUGUUUUAAUGCUGAUUUCUAAACAUUUCUCAGCAUGAUCUCUAUUUUUUUUUUUUUUUGACCAUCCUGUGGCAUAUGGAGUUCCCAGGCCAAGGACCAGAUCAGAGUCAAUGUUCCAUCCUGCUUUGCUGGAUCCUUAACCCACUGUGCUGGCCUGGGGAUUGAACCUGUAUCCCAACACUGUAGAACUACCGCUGAUUCACUUCACCACAGCAGGAACUCUUUAGCAGACUAUACUCUUUCAAAUGUCAGCAUGGUAUAUCAUGGUGAUUGGCCUUCCUCUUAAGGUUUUGUCACCUUUCAUAUUUUGCAGACUCCUUUCAUAGCUCUGGAAUUAGAACCAACACUUAUUAAAGUAUUUAAAGGACACUGGUAUGGAAAUGCUUAUGACAUUAAAUCAUAAUAACAAGUGAAUGUAAAGCAGACAGAUGAAAAGUUACACUGGCGAAAUUUUUUCAGGGUUCUCAUUGUGGCUCAAUGGGUUAAGAGCCCGACAUAGUGUUCUUGAGGAUGCAGGUUCAAUCCCUGGCUUUGCUAAGUGGCUUUGCUUUUGCCUACAUCACAGCACAUGGCAACACCAUAUCCUUAACCCCCGAGCGAGGCCAGGGAUCGAACCUACAUCCUCAUGGAUCCUAGUCAGGUACAUUAACCACUGAGCCAUGAAGGGAAUUCCUUACUCUGAAAAACUUUUAAGCUUGUAAGAAUAGUGCAAUAACUUGCCAGAAAAUGAAACAAUGAACUCUCACCUUGAGUCACCAAUUAAUAAUUUGCAAACUAUUAAUUGCCUCAUUGAUUCAUUUUUAUUAUUUUUGUUGUCAUAGACAUUAUGACUCUUUACUGCUAUAUAUUUCAGUGUGUUUGUCCUAAAAAUAGGAACAUUCUCUUAUACUACCACUUUAUAGUGUUUGAACUCAGGAAAAUUAAUGUUGAUACAAUAUUAACAUUCAGGGUGUAAUUCAUAUUCAGAUUUUGCCCAUUGUUUUAACGUCGUGUUUAUUUUUAUUUUUUUAUUUUUAUUUAUUUUUUUUGUCUUUUUGCCAUUUCUUGGGCCGUUCCCGCAGCAUAUGGAGGUUCCCAGGGGUAGGGGUCUAAUCGGAGCUGUAGCUGCCAGCUUACACCAGAGCCACAGCAACGCAGGAUCCGAGCCGCGUCUGCAACCUACACCACAGCUCACGGCAAUGCCGGAUCGUUAACCCACUGAGCAAGGCCAAGAAUUGAACCUGCAGCCUCAUGGGUCCUAGUUGGAUUCAUUAACCACUGCACCACGAUGGGAACUCCCUUAACGUCCUUUUUAAAAGUUGAAAUAUAAUUCCAAGACUGUAAAAUUCACCCUUUUAAAGUGUACAAUUCAGCACUCUUAGGUGUAGUCAUGAAGUAGUGCAAGCAUCACCCCAAUUCUGUUCUAAUUUCAGAACAUUUUCCAGAGAGAAACCCCAAACCCAUUAGUAGUCACUCCCCAUUUCCAUCUCUCCCCCACCCCGUGGCAACCUCUAAUAUAUUUCCUCUCUCUGUGGAUUUUUUCUAUUCUGGACAUUUCAUAUAAGUGGGAACAUCCAGUAUGUGGCCUUUUGUGACUGGCUCCCUUCUGUUAGCCUGUUUUCAAAGUUCAUCCAUAUUAGCAUGUAUCAGUACUGUAUUCCUUUUUUAUGGCUGAUUUUUUUCUCUCUCAUAUUUAUACAUAUUCUCUCCCUCUCCUUCUCAUACACACAACUUACAUAUUUUGUUUAUCCAUUCCUUAAUGAUGGAUAUUUUGAUUCUUGCUCUUCUGCUUAAUAGCUUUGACAUUUUGGCUGGUCUCUCUUAUCUUCCAUUUCUCUAUCUGUAAAAUGGGGUUAAAAUGUAUCUUAGAGAGUUGUUGUGAGAACUAGUGGGGGCAUUUGUAGGUGAAUGUGAUGGACUCAUAGUUGUGAUGCAUAAAUGACAGUUCCCGUCUGUUGGCUAGAAUCAUUUGGAGUAAACUUUGAAGGAAAGAGCUCUCAUCUUUUUGCCAGGAUAGUGAAGUCAGCUUCUUUUAAUCUACAGAUUCCUUCUCCAUCACUUUAUUUUCCUUUGAAAAACCAGUGAACCAUGGGAAAUAAUAUUCCCAUGACCCGUAGAGAUUCUCCAAAUCUGGAUUUUUCUGAUUCCAUACUUCGGAUGCGAUUGGCCAUGCUCCUCUGAGAUACUUCUGCACAUUGGCAGUUGUCUCUAGAGGCUUGCUCAGAUUUAGCUUUAAUCCCCUUGGCAAGAUGUAGAUGCUGUUGUAUACUUUCAUCAGAGGCUUGUCAUGUCUGGCUGUCCCUUUUUUCUGUGUGUGGGUGGCUUGCAGCUGUUGGUGCUCAUUGCCUAGACUAUUAAUUUGGGGUUGAAAAAUAGUGGUACUGUGAUUCUGUUAUUUCUUUUUAACUUAUUUGUUGGGCUGUUUUUAUAAAGAGAUGUUUAUCCUCAUGUGGUUAAGGCAGAGUUGUCAUGAAUGGGAUCAAUGAUCUUAUAAAAGAGACCUCAGAGGGCAACCUUGCCCCAUCCGCCAUAUGAAGACAUAGCAAGAAGACAGCUGCCUAUGAACUAGGAAGUAGGCUCUCAUAAGACACCGAAUCUGCUGGUGCCUUGAUCUUGGACUUGCCAGCCUCCAGAACUGUGAGAAAUAAACUUCUGUUGUUUAUAAGCCACCCCAUCUGUGGUACUCUUUUAUGGCAGCCUGAACAGACUAAAACAGAUUCUUUGUAGAUACAGCUUAUUCUACAAUUUGUAUGAACAGAAAUUGGAAAACCAAAACAACUUUGAAAAAUAACCAAGUUAGAAGAUUUUCACUACCUGAUUUUAAGACACACUGUUAAGCUAUAGUUGUUAAGACAGUGUAAUAUUAGUAAAAGCAUUGACAUACAGACAAUGAAAUAGGUAUGCAACAUGAAAUAAACAGGGUUGACUGAUUUUUGACAAAAGUGCAAUGGCAAUUUUAAACAAAGAGUGCUGGAACAUCCAAAGGCAAAAAAGUGAUUAUUGUUUACCUACAUUUCAAAACAAAACAAACUCUGCCUGGAUGACAGAGCCAAGUGUAAAACGUAGAACUGUAAAGUUCUUAGAAGAAAACAUAGGAGAAAAUUCCUCCUGUUGGCUUAGGCAAAUACUUCUUAGUGAGAUCCAUAAAGAAAAAUUAAUAUAUUGAACCCAGUCAGAAUUAAAACUUUUGCUCUACAAAGAACCCUAUUAAGAGAAUAGAAAGGCCGCUCCAUAUUGGGGCACGUUCCACAUAAGGAAAAAGUGCUUAUAUCUGAAAUUUAUAAAGAAAUCCCAACAAUAUUUAACCAGAUUUUAACAAUGAGCAAAAUAUUUGAACAGACUUUUCACCAUGGUGGAUAUAAGGACAGCAAAUAAGCAACUGAAAAGAUGUUCAGUGCCAUUCGUAAUAACUAAAACCACAAUGAAGUAUCAUUAUCUACCCAUACAAUUGGUAAAUUAAAAAAUACUGACAUUGCCAAGUUCCUGAUGACCCAUGCAUAAUAACCAGAACUCUCAUACAUUUCUGGUAGGGCUGCAAAAUGGUAUUGUCACUUUGGAAAAUAGCUUGGUUGUUUCUUAAACAAGUUAAACAUGCCUUUAUCAUAUGAUUUAGCAAUUCCAAUUCUAAGGGUUUAUCCCAGAGAAAUGAAAACCUGUGUUUACACAAAGAUUUGUAUACAUAUGUGUAACUCAUAAUGCUCAAAAAAAAAGAAAGAAAAAGGAAGCCACUCAAAUGUCUGUCUGUAGGUGAAUGGAUAAACAAACUGUGAAGUACUACUCAGCAAUAGAGGAAUGAACUAUGGCUGCAAACAACAACAUGAAUGCAGUUCAGAUAUGAUAUUGUAAGUGAAAGAACCCUGUCUCAAAAGGUCACAUAAUAUUUCAUUUAUAUGAUAGUCUAGAAAAGGAAAAAAUGCAGGCACUGAGAACAGAUCAGUGGUUGCCAGGAGUUAGGGUUGGGGGUUUGAAUAUAAAGGUUCAAAGGAAUUUGUCCCCUGGUUGGAAUUAUUCUAUGUUCUAUAUAUGGUGGUGGUUAUAAUAAUGCAUGCAUGUUUAAAAUCUUAGAGAGCAAUACAUGGAAAAAGACAAAUUUUACUUUUUGUGAUUAAAAAAAAAAAAAAAA
rnacentral:lncRNA from 1 species